GAGCUUGCUCCUUUGACGUUAGCGGCGGACGGGUGAGUAACACGUGGGUAACCUACCUAUAAGACUGGAAUAACUCCGGGAAACCGGGGCUAAUGCCGGAUAACAUAUAGAACCGCAUGGUUCUAUAGUGAAAGAUGGUUUUGCUAUCACUUAUAGAUGGACCCGCGCCGUAUUAGCUAGUUGGUAAGGUAAUGGCUUACCAAGGCGACGAUACGUAGCCGACCUGAGAGGGUGAUCGGCCACACUGGAACUGAGACACGGUCCAGACUCCUACGGGAGGCAGCAGUAGGGAAUCUUCCGCAAUGGGCGAAAGCCUGACGGAGCAACGCCGCGUGAGUGAUGAAGGGUUUCGGCUCGUAAAACUCUGUUAUUAGGGAAGAACAUAUGUGUAAGUAACUGUGCACAUCUUGACGGUACCUAAUCAGAAAGCCACGGCUAACUACGUGCCAGCAGCCGCGGUAAUACGUAGGUGGCAAGCGUUAUCCGGAAUUAUUGGGCGUAAAGCGCGCGUAGGCGGUUUCUUAAGUCUGAUGUGAAAGCCCACGGCUCAACCGUGGAGGGUCAUUGGAAACUGGGAAACUUGAGUGCAGAAGAGGAAAGUGGAAUUCCAUGUGUAGCGGUGAAAUGCGCAGAGAUAUGGAGGAACACCAGUGGCGAAGGCGACUUUCUGGUCUGUAACUGACGCUGAUGUGCGAAAGCGUGGGGAUCAAACAGGAUUAGAUACCCUGGUAGUCCACGCCGUAAACGAUGAGUGC
rnacentral:rRNA from 1 species